rnacentral:rRNA from 1 species
AGUGAACGCUGGCGGUAGGCCUAACACAUGCAAGUCGAACGGCAGCACAGUAAGAGCUUGCUCUUACGGGUGGCGAGUGGCGGACGGGUGAGGAAUACAUCGGAAUCUACUUUUUCGUGGGGGAUAACGUAGGGAAACUUACGCUAAUACCGCAUACGACCUACGGGUGAAAGCGGGGGAUCUUCGGACCUUGCGCGAUUGAAUGAGCCGAUGUCGGAUUAGCUAGUUGGCGGGGUAAAGGCCCACCAAGGCGACGAUCCGUAGCUGGUCUGAGAGGAUGAUCAGCCACACUGGAACUGAGACACGGUCCAGACUCCUAAGGGAGGCAGCAGUGGGGAAUAUUGGACAAUGGGCGCAAGCCUGAUCCAGCCAUACCGCGUGGGUGAAGAAGGCCUUCGGGUUGUAAAGCCCUUUUGUUGGGAAAGAAAAGCAGCAGGUUAAUACCCCGCUGUUCUGACGGUACCCAAAGAAUAAGCACCGGCUAACUUCGUG